rnacentral:rRNA from 1 species
AUUGAACGCUGGCGGCAGGCCUAACACAUGCAAGUCGAGCGGAGCGGCGGACGGGUGAGUAAUGCCUAGGAAUCUGCCUGGUAGUGGGGGAUAACGUCCGGAAACGGGCGCUAAUACCGCAUACUCUCAGUUGAGCCUAGGUCGGAUUAGCUAGGAGGUGGGGUAAAGGCCUACCAAGGCGACGAUCCGUAACUGGUCUGAGAGGAUGAUCAGUCACGCUGGAACUGAGACACGGUCCAGACGCCUACGGGAGGCAGCAGUGGGGAAGAUUGGACAAUGGGCGAAAGCCUGAUGCAGCGACGCCGCGUGGGGGAUGAAGGCUUUCGGGUUGUAAACCUCUUUCGCUAUCGAACGGGUAGGUGGAGAAGAAGCGCCGGCUAACUACGUGCCAGCAGCCGCGGUAAUUC